CAGUAUGUGAAACUAAGCGGCUAUCACGUGGGUAGAUAUGUUGGCGUUAAUUUAUGUUCACCAACGCGCUAUAAAAUCUAUCUGAGCGAUGACUUGAAUGAAGUUUUUUUGAACGUUACCGAUUCCAGUGGACACGGACAAGACCACUGUGAGUUUAUUGGUGGUUCCGAAUGAAGCCGCGUCAAUUGACAAUGAUUUCUGGGAAUCUCCAUCAGCUAUAGGAUAUUAUCGUUCACGGUGGGGACAGGAGCCUACACUGGGAAACAUCGGUGGGGGUACUGGCGAUUCAUGGACUGGCAGAUUUUAUGUGCGGUGGAUUGAGUGUGGUUUAUCGAUACCAUGAGAUACAAAUGUAUUAGCAUAUUCUUUGUCAUCUGAUCUGAAUAUAACCAUUUACAUCUACUGCGAAGAUUUUGUUGGGGAAAAGGGAAUAUCGCUUGUAAAUAUGCUUACAGCCAGUGUUUUGCUCACAAGUGCUGAUUUACCGAAUUGUGUAGUUAAACAAUUGGAACAUAUCGAAUAUGUAUAUUGGAAAAUUGACGUCUACCAUCCAGAUUAGAGGUGCUGUUAACACUAGUCGUUGACAAAUGGUGCUAUUUAUGAUUUUUUUUAACAAAUACAAAUAUUGUUCAUAUAAAAACAUUACGUGAUAAUGUUACCAAUCAUGAACACUGUUGAACGUUUAUUUGAUAUAUAAAUUGACAAAUAUUAAGUAAAUACUCACAACCUCUCCACUUAAACACAUCGCAAUUCAAUAUAGACGUAAUUCUUUCUGAUGUUUUGAAGUGUUAUUUUUAUGUAAUUUCAAACUAUGUCCAGCUUUCGUGAUAUGACUUCAUCGAGGGAACGUGAAUUAAAACCUUUUCACUAAUAACAUAUUAUUGUUGACACGUGGGCAUGAUUCUUUAUACUGGGAAAAAAAUCGUGUAUAUGUAUUGUAAAGGCUGAUUUUUUUUUAAGAAUACAUUAUGGGAAGUAAAGUUUAACUUUUGGAUUA